ensembl:lncRNA
AAAAACACAUUAUUUUCCACACACUGUACAUUAUUGUAUCUCCUCUAUGCCCCGCCUUUCUGAAAUGCGUCAUUUUUUACAAAGCUCAUCGGUCUGAAAAGCAAGGUGUACACUGAUUGGCCAAAUGCCUCAAGCGUUUGAUGGAAAUGUUACGCCCCUUGACAUACUAUGAUGCGUGUCCCGGUCAGAACACCGGCGCGACAAGACUACACAUUAAAACCCAUUACAAACGAGCCAUUUGUUGAAUCCAGUGGGGACAUAAUUACUGAUUAUAAUGACUUAUACUUUCUUUUUAUGCAUUGAGUUGCAUUGCACUGCGUAAACAUGAAACCAUGUCUGCAUUUGUGAUCGGAGAAACGACAAACAAGAAGCGCUACUCUACACUGCUUAAUACUCGCGUUUGAAUCAUCAGUGGCAAAUCCUUUAAAUAUGAAAACGUACUUACAGACUGUGAGUCAGAACGGAAAUAGUCCUCCAUAAAAUGUGCUGCACACAUCUGAAUAUUUGGGUUAAACUGUUCUGGAACAGUGUUGUAAAUACAACUUAACCACAGAUUUCUAGUUGUGUACUCUUUUGGAAGGCCAAACAAAGUAUUUUCACUUUCACAAUGAAACAGCAUCUCCACAACAUGGCGCCGGCGGCAAUAGCGAGAAUCAAAGUUACGCCUUCUUUCUUUGCGUGAACAUUUGGCCAGCGUUAUGCAAAUCUUCCCACAUCAUGACAUAGACAUGUGGGGGUGUGUUUAAACAAGGCGUUUUAGGUGGGUGUGGACAAGUCUUAACUUUUAUUAAGAAUAUCUCUUUGGGUUUGAGACUUUAGUCUUUGCAACUUUAGGGAUCUUAUCUAUUUUCGAACAGCUUGUAACACUCCAAAGAGAAAGGAAAACUUGAAAUCGCAUCAUAUGACCCCUUUAAUAUCACUACUCAUCAUAACUACCUGGUACAUUUUCAGCGCAAUGCGAGACAUUCAAACUAAUAGCACGUAAUUUACGUCUCUAUGAUGAUUGGUUGAUAUACCAGAAGGGAGGCUAGUCUCCCCUACGAGGUUUCUUUUCUUAACACUCCUCAGUGCUAAAAGUGAACACUCAAUGCUGAUUGGCUAUUUUUUUUUUUUUACCAACGGAGGCACAAGAGCUCAGCUCUCCCCCGCGCCCCCCUUCUCUAUUACAUAGCGGUUGUAAUUACAUCAGCAGAUUCGGCACAUUCACGAUAGAAAGGCGGUGCUUUCCAACUUCAGUAACGUUAUGGUAUUACAGCUGUGAAAUUACAAACAAAUAAUACACAUUCUGAGACAUGAACUGAAAUUAAUUGUGAAUUUUAUUAACAUUAAAUCAUCCUCCUCCCAUUUUCACCUCAAAAUUUUGGGGAAGCUGUGCCUCCACUGCCUCCUCCGAAGAGCCGCCACUGAAAACCAACAUGCAGAAGAUUUGUCCUCAAGUAAUUCUAGCGUCUGUUCUUGACUGUAGAUUAAUUCUAUCAGAAGUCAGAGCUGUGUUUUUUUAUUAUCAUAGCAGAUGGGAGAUGAGUAUGUUAAUUCUGCCCUCUUCUUGACAACAGACACUACAUAAACCAAUGCAAUCUAAACAUGAUUAAGCCAGCAGCACACUGACAUCACUGUAAAGUAAGACUGAAAAUUGGCCAGGAGAAAAUGUGUUAGAAACAGACAGAAGACAUUAAGGAAAAAAAAAAGCCUGUGAUUACAAGGUGACUCUGACUUUAUGUACUCUCCAGAUGUGUCAAACGUUAUUGCAGGAUUUGUCAAGGACACACUUUGUAGAGAAAUAUUUCUUUUUUAAAUCUCUCUGUUUACUGAACAUGAACAUGCUGUUUAUGAAGAGUAUUUACUGUGGAAUUGUUCAUUUCUAUAUUUCUAAUGAUGUAUUAGCAAUGCAAAAGCAAUGUUGUAAACUUUGUCAAUAUUUAUGGCUUUGUGAAUCUUGUUAUAUUAGUGUGGACUACAUGCUAACAGUGAGUACGGUUGUUUCAAAAUUGAUUGUGACUGACUCGUUUUGAUUUUAUAAACACCUUGCAACAAGAAGUAAAACAGUCUGUGUUCAGGGUUAAUUUUUUCUCUCCGAACUGCCUGGAUACGGACUAAAAAUGGUCUGUCCUUCAGACUGAUAUACAGUUACUGUAAUUCCUUUUUAUUUUAUUUUUUUAUUUUGCAUCAUUGCAUCAGACACACCUUCAAAGGUCCCUCAUGUAAAAAUACUGUAAUGUUUUUUAUGCUUUUUGGGUUUGAGUUGAUGGUGCGACACCUGAUUCUGUCACCAUUUCCUUUUCCUGAAUGGAAAAAAUGAUGCAUGAAAAAUGAAAAAUGAUUCAUUCUUUAUACUGUAGGUGCAAGAUAACUGCCACAAGUCUCCAGACUUUUGUAUGUCUUGUAUACAGUAUACAGCAUUACAAUGAAAAGUGAGAUUUAUCUGUUCAAACGGCGAUGUGAUUCAUCAUGAAUCUAUUCACACUGAACUUUCAGCUGUCUUUUCUGCUUUAACCAAUGAGGGAGCGGAAAUCUGCUUUUGGUAAUGUAAUCAAGCACUGCCCAGCCCAGGGCCUGGCUCCAGCAGUGCCUCUGACAUUGUUGGAAAUAGGACAGUUCUGACAAUGAUUCAACCUCCUGUGCUUUCAGUCCUUGAUGAAUGCAUAGAACUGGUGCGAAUCUUGUGACGUGCACAAGUACGAUGUCCCAAGUAGCGAGAUGAAAACUGUCACAAAGAAUAAAAUUACAGAGUAUGAAGAGGGAGCUAGGGCAGAUGAUGAUUUCAGGUCAGUGCUGGGAAACUUGAGAAAUGCCUCAUCAUUCUUACUAUAUUAAUGUGAUUAGUAAUGUGUUAGUGAUGUAGACGUGAUGUGGUCACAACUCCGAGUACCACUGAGGCAAAAUAUUUGUCACAAUCCGGUCACUGACCUUAACUGCAUAUGUAAACUUUUUCAUCAUGCGCUAGACGAUAAUAAAAUAUGGCGCUGUUGAAACAGACAUCAAUCAUACAAAAUUUUAUUGUGGCAAAGUUUUUAAACUGAGGAAAGUGAAUAAAUUGAAAUGUCUGUACUUAUAUUGUUAUGUUUGUUUCCAGUGAUCAUUGUCAUUUGUCAGAGUCCAAAGUUUGUGAGUUUCAGAAUGAUGUAAUAAUAAUAUAAUGUGCUCAGGGUAAUAAAUCAAUGUGAAAGGGCUUGAAUACAAGUCUAUUCUUCUUUUGCCUCUGUGUUGAGCGUCAAUGAUGUGAUGCUCUUUUUUUUUUUUUUGUCCGGAUCUUCUAUUAUGAGCAUGUUUUUCAUUUUAGAAUUAAAAUUCUGAAUUUUGGGAGCAAAAAGUAAAAAUGUCAAGGUGAUACACCUGUUCUAAAAUC